rnacentral:lncRNA from 1 species
GUAUGAUUGUUAUAACACCUCCGUUCGGGCUCUGCCAGUGAAAUUGUGGAAUAAGAUUGAACUCUCGGCCCCUCCUACGAGGCUAUCGUGAGUCUAGACCAGACUCAUCUCGAUGGCCCACUAACAAAUGCGUCAAAGUUUGUCUUCCUAGCCCUAGGAAGUAGUAGCAUCGUCACUCUAAAUGCUCUCGAGGAACACAAGUGCUUAUCAACAACAUAGCCACGCCUUUGGGAUUUACGUCAUGAUCUUAUACUCUAAAUCCAAAGGCCUUUGCAUUAUUCUCAUGUUUUUUGACGAACAGGAGGGCUUGCGCCCCUACUAAAAUUUAUUAGAAGAAUCAAAAGGAAAGGGUCCAAAUAGGAGGGGAUACAAGGAAGAGAAAAAAUUCAGGAGACAAAAAAAAGAGACAAAGAAAAUAAAAAAAUUACACAAGCUGCUCUAGCCAUAAACUAAUCUGGGGUAGGUAUAUUUUCUUUGCGUGAAGCACAACUAAGCCAAAGACAUUUUUGAAGAUAUGCUUGCAUUGUUGCACACUUGCCUCCUGUCCUCUAAAGAUCAGAUUGUUCCUGACUGACCAAAUGCUCCAGCACAUAAGAACAGUAAUUUCCAUGAAGAAAGGAACAUUGAGCUAUCUUCUGAAAUCUUCCAAAACUUGGAAGGGCCCUUGAGAUUGGGGGACUACCAAUCCAAUCAUAUUCCAACAUUCUUUUGCCAUGUCACAAUGCAAAAAUAAAUGGUCGAUUAUUUCAACCAAGCUUUCACAUAGAACACAACUGUAAGACUGCAAAAACAUGUCUUUUCUUCUUAGAAUGUUUCUGGUACUAAGCCCG